CAAAGUUCUCGCCGUUAGCCACCAUUAAUCUAAAUAAUAUAGGUUUUAUUUACUUAGUGUGUUUGUUUAUUAUUUGCAGGUUCUUUAAUGAGGGAUGGCUAUCUCAUUUAUUUAUUUUUUUUUGUUAUGUCUAGUUUCUCUCCACCUCAGAGCCUGUUUUUCAUACAGCGCACAAUCUGUUAGCACAUGUUGAUUUUGUUUGGGUGUUGUCUGGUUUCUUCCAGUCUUUGUUUUUUGCUGCAGUAACUCUUUGUUCUCUGUAGCCUCUGUCAGUGGCCCAUCAAGAGCCUCAGUUAGGAGAGGAAGACCAGUAUGAUGCGGAUCACCUGCGCCGUAUUGCUCGCAGCCUGAGUGGAACGGUCAUUGGCCGUCGCCAGAACCGUCUUGCCGUCUCCCGAAGCUUUCUGGGGGACUCCGGGGUUACAUCAUAUCACAACUCCAUGUACUCACCUAGUUGCCUUCAGUUUCCAUUGUCUCAUUCAGACCAACCCAGCUAUCUUCAUCUCCUUCCAUCAUCUUCACCCCCGUCUCAGCAGCCUGGGCCUUCCAGAGGGGCCCCAGGACGUCUCCAGAGGUUCUCCGAGUUUCUGGCUGUGUUUGACCGGCGUCAAGCUCUCUCCAGUGGGAAGCACUACGGUCCAGCAGUGAGGUGUAUUGGAAGACAUCCUCUCUAAAGCUCUCACCCAACCAAUUGGCUUUGGACCAGGUCCUCCAGCCCUGGAACAUUUCCACAGAUGCGUUUGUUCCCCUGGAUGACCCCUCUGCACACCCCAUCCCAUUCUUGUCACAGUUUCCUGGAGAACUGGAAGGAGCACGUCCAGAGACCUGAUGCCAUCCUCAAUCACCCUGCACUUUGUAUUGUACCUGGGAUGACGCCCUUAAGUUACCCUGCUAUAGUUGGUAAAUCUUUCCAUGCAGAAGCCCCUGAAGCUCGAUCCACAGCAUGACGGAAAGAGACACCAAAACUAACUUUUCUUUUUAUUUACGAGCUCUGGGAUGGCGUGAUUCUUUGGGGCUGAGGUGUGUGUGUGUAUGACUAACCUAUAGUCAGACUUGCAGCAUGCAAUGAAAGGAGCGUGGUGUUUAGAUUUGGACUCCCGCAGUGAGCCAUCCAACCCAGAGCACUUAACUUAAUUAACCCCAACAUUCAAUUAAUUGCAGAGGAGAAGCAUACGGUACCUCCUUGCUGCACUAGACGGUAAAUGUGUGUUUGUGUGUAUGCGUGUGUGCAUGUGUUGGGUGGUAAAAGGGGAGGGGCUUAUUGUAACCCUGCCCUCAUUUAUACUACAGGUCAAAAGUUUGGAAUGAUUAAGAUUUUUUAAAUAUUUUAAAUAAGAUGUCUCAAGUGAACAAAAAUACAGUAAAAGCAGUAAAAUUGUUAAAAAUUAUUACAAUUUAAAGCAUUGUUUUUCAUUUGAAUAUAUUUCACAAUAAAUAUUUAGCAGCUUGACAGUUUUUAACAUUGAUUUUAAUAGUGUUAAUAAAUGUUUCUCAAGCACCAAAAAAAAAAAAUUCUGAAAGGAUCAUGUGACACUGAAGACCGGAGUAAUGGAAUAAAUUACACUUUAAAAUAUAUUUAAAUAUAAAACAGUUAUUUUAAAUUGUAAUAAUAUUUCAUAGUGUUUUUAUAGUAUUUUUAAUCAAAUAAAUGCAGCAUCAGUGAGCUUACGAGAUAUUAAAAAAUUUUAAUUAUUCCAAACUUUUGACCGAUAGGGUAGAAAAAACCAUUCUUUACCCUUCCUCCUCGCCUGUUCCACGGAUACAAGUUCUCAGCACACCAACGUCCCAGAAUCGUCAUCGCUUUGCUGAACAUUUUUUCCCAAGCAACUCUCCUGCGUACGUUUUUUGGUAGCGGGAUGGGUUAAUGUCAUGUACAUGUAGAUGCUAAGUACUUCAACCUGUACUAAGUGAAUCGAGAUGUUUUGUACGGUGUCAUCUCUCAGCUCUGGUGCUUUUUGUUGGAGCAAGCAUGUAAAUCUGCGGCCCUGGCGCUGAGCGUGGAAUGAGACUGUCUCUUCUCACCUUUUUCCUCCUAUUUCUCUGAUACGGGCAUUCCCUGUAGCACACAGCUGUUUUGUGUCUCGUGUUACAGGCAAAGACUGUUUGACUGAACAUACACCUGUCUCUUAUAUUAUUGUUAAUAAAAAACUACAACAUCUUAAGAAAUAUACAGAGGAAUGGAGAAACUACGUAAUGACGUUAUGGAAUGUUAAUCAGUUCUAGUGGUAAUAAUUAUUAUCUGCAUUAAGACAAGUAUAGUACACUUCAGAAGUGUAAAGCUGGAGAAAAACUGCUAUUUUAAUUCCAUUGACAGUUCUCCCGUUUAUAGAGGGAGAUAUGCCAAGUUAAGCUUCCUUUUUAUUGUUUAUUUUACUUGAUUCGAUACUUUUUUUUUUUUAACUUGCAGUGACACUGAAACCACAGCUAUGAGUCUGGCAUGUGAUGGAUCUUCAGGCCUGUAAUAGUUGAGGGGUCUCAUCCCAUUCGAUUGUUGUAGAAUCUAUAUUAUUUCUAGAUUUUACUUUAAUCAGCACAGCUGAAGAAUGUUUGGCUCUGAUAGCAUAGAUGGAGCUUAUGCAAAGCUUCAUUAGCCUGGAAUUUGGACAGUAUUACGUAUAUGGGGCCUUGAACAAGGAAUGCUUUCAUACUGUUAUUCAAAUAAACGUAAUACGAUUUGUGAUUAACGGAAAUCCGAUAUUGAUCAACAGUUGUUUCGUAUCACAAUAUCAUAUGAUCAAUGCAGUAUUAAACUUUUCAUUCUAAUCAUAUUGUGCUGUGAUAUGUAUUAUUUUUUUAUUAAAAGCCUUUGAGUGCUGAAAUUAAAAUGAUCAUAAAAGAUAUAACUUAAAGAGAUCUAGAUCUUAUUUAACUUUGUCUUAACCAAAGAUUGGCUCUAACACAAAGAUAUGUUUUUUGUUUUUUUGGUCAUUUAUUCAUCUUUCCUUUCAUUUAAAGGAUUUUUGAGAAUGUAGCAACGGUUAUGUAUGAGUAUGCUAUGCAAAAUGCUCUCUCCUGAACUACCAGCAAAGAGUCAGACUGGGACAAAAUCAGAUAUUUUUCUUUUUUUUUCCUAUAUACUGAGGAUGAAAAUGAUCUCCUGCUGAAUUGUUGAAUCUUUACUUAUUAAUGUCUGUACAGUUAACAGCCUUUGAAUGCGAGUUGUAGCUGGUGGGAGGAGGAUUUCUCAAAGUGAAAUGGCAUUUCAAGGUUUUCCAUUUGGGACUCAAUUGUAAAGGGUGAGUGAACUUGUAUUUUUGCAAUAAAGUUAUUACCAAUGCACUCCAGCAGGGGCGCUGCACAAACGCCUACACUGUGUCUGAGGGUUUUGUUGUUGUUGCUGUUGUUGUUUGUUUUUUUAAUAGAAACAUAUGAAAAAAAAAAAACUAUAUAAAAUGGUAUUUUAAUGUAUACCAUGAUCAAAAUCCUCACAUUGACAGUGAUCAAUAAACAUUGGGCUAAUU
rnacentral:lncRNA from 1 species